rnacentral:rRNA from 1 species
UCGAGUGGCGGACGGGUGAGUAACGCGUGGGUAACCUGCCUCAUACAGGGGAAUAACAGUUGGAAACGGCUGCUAAAACCGCAUAAGCGCACAGUACCGCAUGGUACCGUGUGAAAAACUCCGGUGGUAUGAGAUGGACCCGCGUCUGAUUAGCUGGUUGGUGAGGUAAUGGCCCACCAAGGCGACGAUCAGUAGCCGGCCUGAGAGGGUGAACGGCCACAUUGGGACUGAGACACGGCCCAAACUCCUACGGGAGGUAGCAGUGGGGAAUAUUGCACAAUGGGGGAAACCCUGAUGCAGCGACGCCGCGUGAGUGAAGAAGUAUUUCGGUAUGUAAGGCUCUAUCAGCAGGGAAGAAGAAAGACGGUACCUGACUAAGAAGCACCGGCUAAAUACGUGCCAGCAGCCGCGGUAAUACGUAUGGUGCAAGCGUUAUCCGGAUUUACUGGGUGUAAAGGGUGCGUAGGUGGUGAGACAAGUCUGAAGUGAAAAUCCGGGGCUUAACCCCGGAACUGCUUUGGAAACUGCCUGACUGGAGUACAGGAGAGGUAAGUGGAAUUCCUAGUGUAGCGGUGAAAUGCGUAGAUAUUAGGAGGAACACCAGUGGCGAAAGCGACUUACUGGACGGUACUGACACUGA